AGGUGUGAUCGUACCAGCACUAAUGCAUCGGAUCCCAUUAGAACUCCGCAGUUAAGCGUGCUUGGGCGAGAAUAGUACUAGGAUGGUUGACCUCCUGGGAAGUCCUCAUGUUGCACCUC
rnacentral:rRNA from 2 species